AGCCUCGACUGCGACUGGUUCUGAUAGCACAUGGACAGGCAUCAUUACUCUACAGCUGCAGCCUCGAAUCCAAAGUUUCCAUCACUCCAUUCAAGCUGACAGACCAGACUGAAUGGAAUCUCUGAGUCUCAGUUGCAAAUUCCUGGGAAUGAAUUGUGUAAGGGCAAGAAUCAAAGCAGAGACCUGUUAGAAGAUUACUGCAAAAGACUGGAGGAGAGAUUAUGCGGUCCUGGACUUGAGUGGUAACAGUGGAGGUGGUGAGACUUCAUCAGAUCCUGGAUAUCUGGUGGUGAGACAGCUGACAGGACUUGCUGAUGGAUCGACGACGAGGAAAAGAAGAGAGUCCAGGAUGAAUGGCAGCAAAUGACUGAGCCCUGAUGUGGCCUGGCCAGCAAAAUAGGAGAAGCCAAAAAGAGAUGUGAUCUGGAAGCUAAGUGAAGAAAUCUUUAAGGAAGUAAAGAUCAUCAAGUGAAAUUCUAUUAAGAGGCCAUGCAAGGUGAGAACUGAGAUAUGACCGCUGGGUUUGGCAAGAUAGAGGCCAUUAUUUGAUCUUGACAAGAGUGUUCUUGGAGGAAUAGUGCAAAUGCUGGAAAUGGAAUGAAUUGAAUUGAAAAUGCAAGGUGACAAGAGGAGACAGUAAUAAUAGACAACUUUUGAUGGACUAUUGCAAUAAAAAAGAGUAGGAAAAUGUGACAUUAGUUGAAGGGAAUAAGGAUACUAGAGAGAAUUCAUAUCCUGCUUAUGUGCUGAUGGGAAUAAUUAAGAAGAGAAGGAAAAAUUAUGGACGCAGAGGGGAGAGAGGAUAUUACUUGAUUGAAAUCAUUCGUGGGCAGGGGUGCCUGGGUGGCUCAGUCGGUUAAGCAUCCAACUCUUGAUUUCAGGUCAGGUCAUAAUCUCACAAUUCCUGAG